UCCCCGAGAAUCCCUGUGCUUCCUUCGAACUAGGUCAAAUCUCUUCCCCAUGAUGCUAUUCAGAGUCUUCAGGAGCAUGUCACUUCAAAUACCAUCGGAAAAGCUCUUUGAGAGCUCAAGCCUUUGAAGGCCGGCGGUCCUGAUGGGGUUCCCGCAAUCUUUUCCCAAAAACCUCAAAUGGGUAGUGUAAGCGACUCUGUUUGUUCGCUUGUCAAUAUUUUAUUUUAACUGUAGAGUCGUGCCUCGAGGAGUUUGGGACACUUUGAAUUCCAUUAUUCCCUAGUUUCGAGGUCCUGAUUCUUUGAAUCAAUAUCGUCUGAUUAGUCAUUGUAAAAAAGUCGAAGAGAGUGUUUGGUAAAGGCAUACGUUAUGGUACUAACGACGAAGGCUCCGCUUUGGGACGUCAACUGAUCGGGUCUUGGAACCAUUAAGGAAUUCUGUAGUUGGCCCUCUCAAUGAAGACACAGCAAAGUGCAUUGGAAUUCAGUGAUUUUAGCAUACACCGACCUAUGAGGCUGCCAAUGAUGUUGCGGAGACGAAUACAAGCCACAUGAACCGGGAUUGUGUACGGAAAUUCGACACUCUUAUGAGAUCAAGCAUAUCAUUUGGCAAUGUCUUCUCAAUAGCAUCACUGCCCAAGCUACAUUAGCGUCUGUCCACAAUGUGGUCUUCAACCUGUGACUACUCUACGCCUUCCCAGAGAUGGCGUAGUCGCUGCGACCUUUUGAAAUGCUUUAAAUAUUUCACCUCGGCAAGGAAUUCAUUUGGAGAGAAUCUUGGGGACAGGCCUAGAAUUCCUUGAAAGAAAUGGGAAUUUGUCACUGUCACUGAUGCUAAAAGCAAAACGGGGAAGAGAGCAAGAAUGUUAUGCAAAUGGAACCUCAACAAGGCUGGAUGAGAU